rnacentral:tRNA from 2 species
GCGAGAGUGGCGAAACUGGCAGACGCGCAGGAUUUAGGUUCCUGUGGGGCAACCCGUGGGGGUUCGAGUCCCCCCUCUCGCACCA